GAUGAAGAACGCAGCGAAACGCGAUAAUUAAUGUGAAUUACAGAAUUCCGUGAAUCAUCGAGUCUUUGAACGCACAUUGCGCCUCAUGGCAUUCCGUGAGGCAUGCCCAUCUCAGCGUUAGAAAGUAUUCUCAAAUUUUAGUUUUCUGCUAAAAUUUGGAUCAUGUCAAGGAAGCUAUUACUAUUAUUGUGAUCGCUCUUUGGAAAUUGAUAGGUCUUUGAGUUGCUACUCAUAGAACGUGAUGAAUCUUUCUUCGUUCUAUUGUAAUUCACUCUGGUAGUCCUAAAACUUGUAUGCCUGUGGCAUAUCUUGUAAUUUGACCUGAGAUUGGGUAGGGAUACCCGCUGAACUUAAGCAUAUCAAUAAGCGGAGGA
rnacentral:misc_RNA from 1 species